rnacentral:rRNA from 1 species
ACACAUGCAAGUCGAGGGGCAGCAUGGUCUUAGCUUGCUAAGGCCGAUGGCGACCGGCGCACGGGUGAGUAACGCGUAUCCAACCUGCCUUACACUCUUGGACAGCCUUCUGAAAGGGAGAUUAAUACAAGAUGUUAUCAUGAGUAAGCAUUUUCGCAUGAUUAAAGGUUUACCGGUGUAAGAUGGGGAUGCGUUCCAUUAGAUAGUAGGCGGGGUAACGGCCCACCUAGUCUUCGAUGGAUAGGGGUUCUGAGAGGAAGGUCCCCCACAUUGGAACUGAGACACGGUCCAAACUCCUACGGGAGGCAGCAGUGAGGAAUAUUGGUCAAUGGACGAGAGUCUGAACCAGCCAAGUAGCGUGAAGGAUGAAGGUUCUAUGGAUUGUAAACUUCUUUUAUACGGGAAUAAACGGAUCCACGUGUGGAUUUUUGCAUGUACCGUAUGAAUAAGGAUCGGCUAACUCCGUGCCAGCAGCCGCGGUAAUACGGAGGAUCCGAGCGUUAUCCGGAUUUAUUGGGUUUAAAGGGAGCGUAGAUGGGUUGUUAAGUCAGUUGUGAAAGUUUGCGGCUCAACCGUAAAAUUGCAAUUGAUACUGGCAGUCUUGAGUACAGUUGAGGUAGGCGGAAUUCGUGGUGUAGCGGUGAAAUGCUUAGAUAUCACGAAGAACUCCGAUUGCGAAGGCAGCUUACUAACCUGUAACUGACAUUGAUGCUCGAAAGUGUGGGUAUCAAACAGGAUUAGGUACCCUGGUAGUCCACACGGUAAACGAUGAAUACUCGCUGUAGGCGAUAUACGGUCUGCGGCCAAGCGAAAGCAUUAAGUAUUCCACCUGGGGAGUACGCCGGCAACGGUGAAACUCAAAGGAAUUGACGGGGGCCCGCACAAGCGGAGGAACAUGUGGUUUAAUUC